rnacentral:rRNA from 1 species
GACGAACGCUGGCGGCGUGCUUAAUACAUGCAAGUAGAACGCUGAAGAUAGGCUCUUGCUCUUCUUGUAUGUGUUGCGAACGUGUGAGUAACGCGUAGGUAACCUCCCUUUUAGCGGGGGAUAACUCUUGGACACGAUCUCUAAUACCGCAUAACCAUGGAUGCCCCAUGUCAUUUAUUUGAAAGGGUCUUUUGCUCCACUACAAGAUCGCCCUGCGUUGUAUUAUCUAUUAGGUGAGGUCAUGGCUCACCUAGGCGACGAUACAUAGCCGACCUGAGAGGGUGAUAGGCGACACUGGGACUGAGACACGGGCCAGACUACUACGGGAGGCAGCAGUAGGGAAUGUUGGGCAAUGGGGACAACCCUGACAGAGCAACGCCGCGUGAGUGAAGAAGGUGUUCGGAUCGUAAAGAUCUGUUGUAAGUCAAGAACGGGUGUGAGAGGGGAAAGUGCACGCUGUGACGGUAGCUUAUCAGAAAGCGACGGCUAACUACGUG